UACAGAGGGUGCGAGCGUUAAUCGGAAUUACUGGGCGUAAAGGGUGCGUAGGUGGUUGCGUAAGUUAGGUGUGAAAGUCCUGGGCUUAACCUGGGAAUGGCAUUUGAGACUGCAUAGCUAGGGUGCGGAAGAGGGAAGCGGAAUUUCCGGUGUAGCGGUGAAAUGCGUAGAUAUCGGAAGGAACACCAGUGGCGAAAAGCG
rnacentral:rRNA from 1 species